ensembl:lncRNA
UACUCUUUCCACUAGGGAACUAAAAAGGGAAAUAUUUCAGGGAGAAAAAAAGUAAAUCUCAUAGUAAGGAACAGAAUGCACAAACAGAUGUAGAUAUGAUCAAGUUUGUAGUUUUAGUUGUCUUAUAUAAGUUUGGUUAGAAUCGUAACAACAAUAAGUCAUCUCAAAGGUAUCCUAAAGUGAAUAUGGACAGGCGUCUCUAUUGAAGAUCCUGAGAAGAGUAGAAGCUCCCCCUGAUGUAUCCUGCUCCAGAAAAUAUCUUGCCAUUAGAACUUUUGAAAGAUUUUUUUUUCUGACCAAUUUGCUACAAUUUCCUCCAUGGGCCUUAAAAUCCUCCCUCCUUUCAACUGUGUCUUCCAUCCAUGGUACGGAGCUGUUAGUUUUCCACAUGAACUUCAAAAAUCUAUCCAUCAGCUUCUACUCAGCGGACUGUAUUCUGGAUAAAUCAGCUUGACGCCUCAAUGUGGUGUCAUAUAUCCGUAAUUCCUACAUCCUGGGAGGCUGAGGCAGAAAAAUCACAAGGUCAAGCCCAGCCUGGACAACUCAGAAACUCGGACACCACAUGCUGAUGACCGAUCAUCCUUCGCUCACCAGCCAGGAGACCACUGCAGAGGCCCCUCUGCCUCCCGGCUAGAGCUUGGGACAAACCAACCUGGGUGGGUGAAGUUUAUUAGGAAGAAAUUUCCCCCGGAAGUCUCAAUUCUAUGGUGAGACCCCAACUUCCUGCACUCUAGCCUGGGUGUUAGCAAGUAGUCUGUCUUUCAAAGUGUCCCUAACGCAAGCGUCGGAAAACUACCAUCAGCAGACCAAAC